rnacentral:rRNA from 1 species
GACGAACGCUGGCGGCGUGCCUAAUACAUGCAAGUCGAACGGAAAGGCCCUGCUUUUGUUGGGUGCUCGAGUGGCGAACGGGUGAGUAACACGUGUGUAACCUGCCCUUGACUUUGGGAUAACUUUUGGAAACUAGGGCUAAUACCGCAUAGGAGCUCAUGCUGCAUGGCGUUGGUUGGAAAGUUGCGGUGGUUUGGGCUGGUUUCGUGGCUUAUGCGCUUGUUGGUGUGGUAGUGGCUUACCACGGCUAUGAGGGGUAGCCGGCCUGAGAGGGUGACCGGGCACAUUGGGACUGAGGUAGGGCCCAGACGGCAACGGGAGGCAGCAGGGGGAAACAUUGCGCAAUGGGCCGAAGCCGGAUGCAGCGGUGUCGGGUGCGGAAUGACGGUAUUCGGGGUAGAAACAGCUUUGGCCUGGAACGUAGCCAGAGUGACGGUAACGGGUAAGAAAGCAACGGCUAACUACGUG